AUUGAACGCUGGCGGCAGGCCUAACACAUGCAAGUCGAGCGAGUGGCGGACGGGUGAGUAAUGUCUGGGAAACUGCCUGAUGGAGGGGGCUAACUACUGGAAACGGUAGCUAAUACCGCAUACCAUCAGAUGUGCCCAGAUGGGAUUAGCUAGUGGGUGGGGUAAUGGCUCACCUAGGCGACGAUCCCUAGCUGGUCUGAGAGGAUGACCAGCAACACUGGAACUGAGAAACGGUCCAGACGCCUACGGGAGGCAGCAGUGGGGAAUAUUGCAAAAUGGGCGCAAGCCUGAUGCAGCCAUGCCGCGUGUGUGAAGAAGGCCUUCGGGUUGUAAAGGACUUUCAGCGAGGAGGCGUUACUCGCAGAAGAAGCACCGGCUAACUCCGUGCCAGCAGCCGCGGUAAUAC
rnacentral:rRNA from 1 species